GCUGUAUUCGUAUAGUGGUUAGUACGCCUCGUUGUGGCCGAGGAAACGGUGGUUCGAUUCCACCAUACAGCA